CCCGCGCUCCUCCGGGCAGAGCGCGUGUGGCGGCCGAGCACAUGGGCCCGCGGGCCGGGCGGGCUCGGGGCGGCCGGGACGAGGAGGGGCGACGACGAGCUGCGAGCAAAGAUGUGCCCCGGGACCCCCGGCACCUUCCAGUGGAUUUCCUUGCGGAAAGGAUGUUGGCGGUCCCUGUGACCUGUGGAGACACGGCCAGAUCUGCCCUCCAGCCUGAUCUUUUGGCCAGAAGGAGAUUAAAAAGAUGCCCCUCAAGAUGGCUGUGCCUGUCAGCUGCAUGGAGCUUCGUUCAAGUAUUUUCUGAGCCUGAUGGAUUUACAGUGAUCUUCAGUGGUCUGGGGAAUAACGCUGGUGGAACCAUGCACUGGAAUGACACACGCCCGGCACAUUUCAGGAUACUAAAAGUGGUUUUAAGGGAGGCUGUGGCUGAAUGCCUCAUGGAUUCUUACAGCUUGGAUGUCCAUGGGGGACGAAGGACUGCAGCUGGCUGAGAGGGUUGAGAUCUCUGUUUACUUAGAUCUCUGCCAACUUCCUUUGGGUCUCCCUAUGGAAUGUAAGACCCCGACUCUUCCUGGUGAAGCAUCUGAUGCACGUUCCAUCCGGCGCUCAGCUGGGCUUGAGCUGACCAUACUCCCUGGAGCCUUCUCCCGAGGUGCGCGGGUGACCUUGGCACAUACAGCCAUCAUGAUGGUACUUUAAGUGGAGGCUGAAUCAUCUCCCCUUUGAGCUGCUUGGCACGUGGCUCCCUUGGUGUUCCCCUUUUACUGCCAGGACACUGAGAUUUGGAGAGAAUCCUGUUACACCUGGGAUUUAGGCACUUUCAAUCUGAAAAAAUACAUAUCCUUUCAGCACUCUGGACGGACUUGAGAACUGUCCUUACGUGACCUAAAGCUGGAGUAUUUUGAGAUUGGAGAAUUAAGAAGGAAGUCACUGUGCAUAGCCAUCCCCUAAGAAGAGGGCAUUCCUGCUCUUCCUUCUCCAUGGCUAGAGGAUCUACAUGAACUAUUUAGAUUUUUUCUACCUGGGAGAUUUAACUCCUCUCUCCUAUUUAUUUAUUUAUAUAUCAGCAUGGACUUGCAGGCCAACAGAGAUUUUGAGAAACACAUUGAAGGAUCUGUUAACACUUGAUAUACCCAAUAAAAGCAGUGGUUGUGCCAGUGCUGAUCUGUCUUGAUGUGAAUGUGAACAAUGGGAACCUGAGCUGAGCAGUUAAUGCUAGGGUGACAGAAACUGGACCUCUCCCAAGACAUGUGACAGAGUAAUACAGCAGCCAACUUCUUCGCCAAAUUAAAGUUUUACAAGAUUUAACCUGUCAUCAAGACCUGGGAUUUUGGUGAGCCAGUCUUGGUGCUCUGUGUUCACCUGGUUCAUCUGAGGAGCUGCAUCUACCCUGCCCAUGCCAUAGAUCCUGCCCUGUUUGCUUCUCCUGUUGCUGCUAGUGGACAUGAGGUCACCCGAUAUAGAAUCACACACCUGGGAGAUGGCACCAGCCAGUGAGGCUCAAAUUUGAACCACACACAAAUCUCCAGGGGUACUUGAAGGACAGAAUAACGGGCUCCCAGAUUCACAAGCCCCACCAAGAGGAUCACCCCAGGAACGCUUGGAGGCUGAGGAGUUCACUGAGGCUACUGCAUCUUGAGACUCAGGAUGAAGACCCAGCUUGGGGCUGUCAAAGGUUUUUUGCAUGUCUGACACCCAUGACUCCACCUGGACCUUAUGGCUCCACCCAGAAGCAAUUCAGCCCAACAGGAGGACAGCUUCAACCCAUUACGAUUUCAUCUCUGCCCCAACCACUCAGCAGCAAGCACCUGUUACCUGUCCACCCCCACCCCUUCCCCCAAACUGCCUUUGAAAAAUCCCUAACCUAUGAGCUUUGAAUAAGAUGAGUACGAACUUCAUCGCCCACGUGGCGUGGCCGGCCUCGUGUCUAUUAAAUUCUUUUUCUACUACAA
rnacentral:lncRNA from 1 species